AGGACGAACGCUGGCGCGUGCUUAACGACGAUGCAAGUCGAACGGAAAGGCCCGCUUGCGGGUACUCGAGUGGCGAACGGGUGAGUAACACGUGGGCAACCUGCCCUCAGCUUCGGGAUAACACUUGGAAACAGGUGCUAAUACCGGAUAAUAACCUUUCAUCGCAUGGUGUGGGGUUCAAAGUUUUUCGGCUGGGGAUGGGCCCGCGGCCUAUCAGCUUGUUGGUGGGGUAAUGGCCUACCAAGGCGACGACGGGUAGCCGGCCUGAGAGGGCGACCGGCCACACUGGGGACUGAGACACGGCCCAGACUCCUACGGGAGGCAGCAGUGGGGAAUAUUGCGCAAUGGGCGGAAGCCUGACGCAGCGACGCCGCGUGAGGGAUGACGGCCUUCGGGUUGUAAACCUCUUUCAGCUCUGACGAAGCGAGAGUGACGGUAGGAGCAGAAGAGCACCGGCCAACUACGCGCCAGCAGCCGC
rnacentral:rRNA from 1 species